rnacentral:misc_RNA from 1 species
UGUAGGAGUGAGCCUGCUCGCGAUAGCGGUGUAUCAGUCGACAUUGAUGUGUCUGAUACACCCCUAUCGCGAGCAGGCUCACUCCUACA